GACGAACGCUGGCGGCGUGCCUAAUACAUGCAAGUAGAACGCUGAAGGAGGAGCUUGCUUCUCUGGAUGAGUUGCGAACGGGUGAGUAACGCGUAGGUAACCUGCCUGGUAGCGGGGGAUAACUAUUGGAAACGAUAGCUAAUACCGCAUAAGAGUAGAUGUUGCAUGACAUUUGCUUAAAAGGUGCAAUUGCAUCACUACCAGAUGGACCUGCGUUGUAUUAGCUAGUUGGUGGGGUAACGGCUCACCAAGGCGACGAUACAUAGCCGACCUGAGAGGGGGGUCGGCCACACUGGGACUGGGACACGGCCCAGACUCCUACGGGAGGCAGCAGUAGGGAAUCUUCGGCAAUGGACGGAAGUCUGACCGAGCAACGCCGCGUGAGGGAAGAAGGUUCUCGGAUCGUAAAGCUCUGUUGUAAGAGAAGAACGAGUGUGAGAGUGGAAAGUUCACACUGUGACGGUAUCUUACCAGAAAGGGACGGCUAACUACGUG
rnacentral:rRNA from 1 species